UACCGUUUUCUUCCUUCCUUCUUCCUUCCUUCUCUCUCCCUUCUCUCUCGAUGAUAACGGCGAUGGUUUCACGAUUCACCUCUAAUCCGGAAAAAUCAAUCGAUUUCUUAAACUCAAUUUGGCCAGCUUAAAUGUUAGGGUUCUUGAUGUUUGAUACCGCUGUUGUCGGAUCGGCUUCCAAUCGCUAAACCCUAACAUUUGAUGAUUUGGUCUUCACGGCCAACUGGCCUAAGCGGACGGCGAGGUCCAUCGGCUAGCGAAUUGGGCACACAAGUGGAGGAUGAGUUUGACAUCCAUUGUGGCGGUCAAGUCUCCUACUUCAUCUAGUGACGCUCCCAUUAGGAGAACCAUCUUGGCCAUGGAAGCGACCUCAUAUACAUUCAGUCGUUUUUUGAUAAAGAAGUAAAGCAGAUAACAGGUGAGUAAGGCUCCUUUUAAGAACUUAGCUAACAUUGAUAUCUUCUUCUGUGUUUUAGCUAAUGUGAGUGAGGCUCCUUUUAAGAGUGGCAAUGGUGAAGCCAAUCCAAGUUCUAUCCAAAGAGAGUGGCAACGGUUUACUUACUGCAUGACGGGGAUUGCGUUUGACUGUUAUUGAUACUUCUCUAUCCCCUGAUCAACGAAAUGUGAUUUUAUCUGGAAGCGAUGAUAAUCUCUGCAAGGUGAUUGUUUUUGUUGAUGCGUUGAUUCAUUGGGAGAGAUAAGCUCUGGUUUAUUGCUGGUGGCUAACUGUUUUGUCUCUGCAUAAUCAAGAAGAAAAAUCCGGUGGCAAUUGCUCUGUUUACUCUCUCUCUGCAAAAACGUUCACAGCAAGAGAAAUAGUGAAAGCUACUAAUAACUUUCGAUGAUGGAACUAAAGUAGCAGUUAAAGUAUUGAAGCGAGAUGACCAUCAAGUAAUCAGCUUCCUACUAGUUCCAAUUCUGACAUGACUAGUGAUCAUGGUGUUGCGAGGAACUAUUGAAGGCUAUUAGUAGAGAGAAGUAGCUCAAUCGUCGACGCCAAGCCUCCAUUGAUGUUUCGAAAAAGGCAGGCAAUUCAGACCACAUCAAACCAACAUCUCAGGCAAGUCAGACCACAUCGAACAAGUCAACACCUUCUUUCUCAUUCAUUCUCAAUCCUAUUUUCCUGCAUCUCUUUCUUUAUCAGUGUCUAGUCUAUAUAUGUGUUUUGCUUGUUUUUGAUUCAGAUUCUGCCAAAAAAAUAGCUUAUUUGAUCAUUAUACAACAUUUAACUUU